UUUUAUUACCAUCACAUUACCAACUCACAACGUCGUCAGUACGUCCUUCCAACGUGACAAGAUAACCAAGAACGUCCCAGAUAGGUUCUCUAUUCGUAAUAUAUUGGUAAAUUCUUGACUUACUGCCAACGUAACUGCACGUAAUUUAAUUACCAUAAUUUUUGUACGUUCUUUAAAAAGUGUAAUUAAACUUCACACACAAGAUUAAGCGUUCCUUAAAGAUAAAAUGUGUUUCUUUUCACCAAGUUAGAAUAUGGACAUGCGUUUAAAUAUAUAGUGAUGUGACAUACAGCGCGCGCUUUCACAGCUGACACACCGCGCUCACAGACAAAAAAGGAAAUAAAUUUUUUGGAGUUGUGAAACUUUCUAUUUCGUAAGGAGUUAUGAAUGUGAAAUAAUGACACAGACUGGCUACACCAUCUCAUCUGCAGCAGAUACUGUAUCAGGAGAACAGCGCGUUUGUUUGAGGCACUUUUCACUUCAACUCUGUCUGACAGGAGAAUUAGCUUUUCUGAGCCUACUAGCCGUUGAGAGUUACCAUGGCAACCGCGGACACGUCAGCUGCUGGAGAGGAGA